rnacentral:rRNA from 1 species
GUGUCAGCAGCCGCGGUAAGACAGAGGGUGCAAACGUUGUUCGGAAUUACUGGGCGUAAAGCGCGUGUAGGCGGUCUCGCAAGUCGGAUGUGAAAGCCCAGGGCUCAACCCUGGAAGUGCACUCGAUACUGCGAGGCUAGAGUCCCGGAGAGGAUGGUGGAACUCUCGGUGUAGAGGUGAAAUUCGUAGAUAUCGAGAAGAACACCGGUGGCGAAGGCGGCCAUCUGGACGGUGACUGACGCUGAGACGCGAAAGCGUGGGGAGCAAACAGGAUUAGAUACCCUGGUAGUCCACGCCGUAAACGAUGGGUGCUAGGUGUCACGGGUAUUGACCCCUGUGGUGCCGAAGCUAACGCAUUAAGCACCCCGCCUGGGAAGUACGGCCGCAAGGCUAAA